UGGGGAAUAUUGCACAAUGGGCGCAAGCCUGAUGCAGCAACGCCGCGUGAGGGAUGACGGCCUUCGGGUUGUAAACCUCUUUUAGUAGGGAAGAAGCGAAAGUGACGGUACCUGCAGAAAAAGCACCGGCUAACUACGUGCCAGCAGCCGCGGUAAUACGUAGGGUGCGAGCGUUGUCCGGAAUUAUUGGGCGUAAAGAGCUCGUAGGCGGUCUGUCGCGUCUGCUGUGAAAACCCGAGGCUCAACCUCGGGCCUGCAGUGGGUACGGGCAGACUAGAGUGCGGUAAGGGAGAAUGGAAUUCCUGGUGUAGCGGUGGAAUGCGCAGAUAUCAGGAGGAACACCGAUGGCGAAGGCAGUUCUCUGGGCCGUAACUGACGCUGAGGAGCGAAAGCGUGGGGAGCGAACAGGAUUAGAUACCCUGGUAGUCCACGCCGUAAACGUUGGGCGCUAGAUGUGGGGCACCAUUCCACGGUUUCCGUGUCGCAGCUAACGCAUUAAGCG
rnacentral:rRNA from 1 species